AAGUCGUAACAAGGUAACCGUAGGUGAACCUGCGGUUGGAUCAUUACCAAACCAGAAGGGCUGUCCAAAAGACAGCUCGUCUAUACAUUGUGAACCGUUUAUGUCUCUGGUGGGUGCGAGCCCACUACCUGAACCUAGCAGCAUCAGUGUCUUAUGAAAAAGUUAAUCUCAACAACUUUUGGCAACGGAUCUCUAGGCUCUC
rnacentral:misc_RNA from 1 species